rnacentral:rRNA from 1 species
GGAUGAGCUGUGGAUAGCGGAGAAAUUCCAAUCGAACUCGGAGAUAGCUGGUUCUCCUCGAAAUAGCUUUAGGGCUAGCGUCGUGUAAUUGAGUAAUGGAGGUAGAGCACUGAAUGGGCUAGGGGCUAUAGUAGUUACCGAACCCUAUCAAACUCCGAAUGCCAUAUACUUGUAUCACGGCAGUCAGACUGCGAAUGAUAAGAUCCGUAGUCAAAAGGGAAACAGCCCAGACCAUCAGCUAAGGUCCCAAAGUGUAAGUUAAGUGGAAAAGGAUGUGGGAUUUCUAAGACAACUAGGAUGUUGGCUUAGAAGCAGCCACUCAUUUAAAGAGUGCGUAAUAGCUCACUAGUCAAGAGAUCCUGCGCCGAAGAUGUCCGGGCUCAAACUUACCACCGAAGCUAUGGGUGUACACUAUGUGUACGCGGUAGAGGAGCUUUCUGUAUGGGUUGAAGUCGUACCGUAAGGAGCGGUGGACUGUACAGAAGUGAGAAUGCUGGCAUAAGUAGCGAGAAAUAAGUGAGAAUCUUAUUGGCCGAAACCUAAGGUUUCCUGAGGAAGGUUCGUCCGCUCAGGGUUAGUCGGGACCUAAGCCGAGGCCGAAAGGCGUAGGUGAUGGACAAUCGGUUGAUAUUCCGAUACCGCCUAUUUACGUUUGAGAAAUGGGGUGACGCAGUAGGAUAAGAUGUGCGCACUAUUGGAUGUGCGUCUAAGCACUUAGGCAUGCUUGAUAGGCAAAUCCGUCGAGCUAAGCUGAGGUGUGAUGGGGAGCCAUUUAUGGCGAAGUAUCUGAUUCCACACUGCCAAGAAAAGCCUCUAUCGAGUGAAUAGGUGCCCGUACCGCAAACCGACACAGGUAGGUGAGGAGAGAAUCCUAAGGCCAUCGGAAGAAUUGCUGUUAAGGAACUCGGCAAAUUGACCCCGUAACUUCGGGAGAAGGGGUGCCUACGAAAGUAGGCCGCAGAGAAUAGGCCCAAGCAACUGUUUAGCAAAAACACAGGUCUCUGCUAAAGCGAAAGCUGAUGUAUAGGGCUGACGCCUGCCCGGUGCUGGAAGGUUAAGGGGAACACUUAGCGUAAGCGAAGGUGUGAACUUAAGCCCCAGUAAACGGCGGCCGUAACUAUAACGGUCCUAAGGUAGCGAAAUUCCUUGUCGGGUAAGUUCCGACCCGCACGAAUGGCGUAAUGAUUUGGGCACUGUCUCAACAGCAAAUCCGGCGAAAUUGUAGUGCAAGUGAAGAUGCUUGCUACCCGCGAUUGGACGGAAAGACCCCGUAGAGCUUUACUGUAGCUUAGCAUUGAAUCUCGGUAUUGUCUGUACAGGAUAGGUGGGAGACUUGGAACUUGGGCGUCAGCCUGAGUGGAGUCAUCCUUGGGAUACCACCCUGACAGUACUGGGGUUCUAACCGGCGGCCAUGAAUCUGGUCACGGGACAUUGUUAGGUGGGCAGUUUGACUGGGGCGGUCGCCUCCUAAAAAGUAACGGAGGCGCCCAAAAGUUCCCUCAGCGCGGUCGGAAAUCGCGCGAAGAGUGCAAAGGCAGAAGGGAGCUUGACUGCGACACAUACAGGUGGAGCAGGGACGAAAGUCGGGCUUAGUGAUCCGGUGGUACCUCGUGGGAGGGCCAUCGCUCAACGGAUAAAAGCUACCUCGGGGAUAACAGGCUGAUCUCCCCCAAGAGUCCACAUCGACGGGGAGGUUUGGCACCUCGAUGUCGGCUCGUCGCAUCCUGGGGCUGAAGUAGGUCCCAAGGGUUGGGCUGUUCGCCCAUUAAAGCGGCACGCGAGCUGGGUUCAGAACGUCGUGAGACAGUUCGGUCCCUAUCCGUCGCGGGCGUAGGAAAUUUGAGAGGAGCUGUCCUUAGUACGAGAGGACCGGGAUGGACCAACCUCUGGUGCACCAGUUGUCACGCCAGUGGCACAGCUGGGUAGCUAUGUUGGGACUGGAUAAACGCUGAAAGCAUCUAAGCGUGAAGCCAACCUCAAGAUGAGAUUUCCCAUAGCGUAAGCUAGUAAGACUCCUGGAAGAACACCAGGUUGAUAGGUCAGAGAUGUAAGCAUGGCAACA